ensembl:snRNA U6 U6 spliceosomal RNA
GUGUUUGCUUUGACAGCACAUAUACUAAAAUUUGAACGAUACAGAGUAGAUUAGCAUGGUUCUUGAGCAAGGAUAACACACAAAUUUGUGAAGGGUUUCAUGUUUGA